rnacentral:lncRNA from 1 species
AUGCUGGAAAGAAUAUGUGAAAAAGGAGGAUAAGAACAAAAGUGAGAAGAGGGGUCUGACCACUGAAAAUCUUUGAUGCCAUACAAAAUGAAUCUCUGUAUUCCAGCUUUCUGAAAAUCUUUAGUAGAAACAGAGAUCCUGGACAUCCUUUUUAGGCUUGUUUUCAUUUGUGAAAUGUCUUCAUGCCUAAUAGCAAGCAGAAGAAAACCUUGCUCUCCUCCACUGAGAAGACAAGUUAAGAGCAAAACGACCUAUAAUUUUCACCAGAAACGUAGAAAAGAGGACACCCAGAGUUCCAGAUCUUUGCCAGCCCAUCACUGUGAAAAAGCAAAGUCAACCCAUAAUCCUAUUACCAUUUCAUUUUUCGAGACCUAUAAAACUUUUUCCUUGCUAUCAAUAAUCACCAACAUUUCUAAAUGCUCCAUUUACUAGAUUCCUAAACUUUUUCUAAGACUAAAGAGUAAAUAACAGUAACAUUUAUAGAACAGAAGUCAUUUAAGUAGUUUUCACAAACCAAUUGACUAAAAUUUUAGCUAGAUUUCUAAGAAAUAUCGUAAAGACACUGUAGCAGAUUGUGUUAUUUUCUGUAAAUAUUUGCAGCCCAUCUCUUGGGAAAGAUUAUACUCCCCACUUCACUGAUGUCAAUCUUGGUCAUAUGACUUGUGAAGAGUGAGCAGAAGUGGCAUGUGCCACUUGCAAGUAGAAAUUUAAGGGCCAUUGCAGUUUGCCAGUUUCUUUUUACUUCUGUGCUAGACCAGAAUAUUCCAGAUAAGGGCUCCAUCAACCAGGGGUCCAGAGCGAAUACAACAUGGAGCAGCACUGGGACCAACCCAGGAGACUAUGUAGAAUAAGUGAGAAGUAAACUUUUGUUCAUGUUAGUCACUGAUAUUGUGGGUCACCUGUUACCACAGGAUAACCUAGGCGAUUGUCCUAAAUGACUAAUUAGAGGAUGUAAAAAUCCUGUUAUAUUCUGCGCCUGGACCUUUUAAUUAUAAUGAUAUAAAGAUGGCAGUAGCAAAAAAUAACCUCAUUUAUUCAGAAAGAAGCAUUUCAAUGUUUCCUAUAGGUUAAUACAAUUAAGACAGGAUAUAAGACGAAAUUUUGGCUGCACUGAACAACAAAAGUGUUGCAAGGGAUUCAGAAUCCUAAAGAAUUUUUGAGUUAUUUACAGGAUACAAAAGCAUGUAACCAGAGGAUCACAUCCAGAAAUAAUGUUGGCUAUUAUUUAGGGAUUAUCUUUAACCUGGGAAAAUGGGGCACUCACCAUCCUUUUUUCUUUUUCUCUUUUUUAGCCAAGAAACUUCAAAAUUAUUUUCAAAGAAAAAGAAGUGACUUUCAAAAGGCAUUAGCAAAACUCCAUAGAUUUCCUAAAUCCAAAGACUAAUAAUAUAUACAACAUUUCCUUGCCUAAAAGCUAUGUCCUAAUAUGACACAAGUCCUGUCAAGAUUUCUGUUUUUAAUAAAAAGUUAAUCACGUUUAAACA